UACGUAGGGGGCAAGCGUUGUCCGGAUUUAUUGGGCGUAAAGAGCGUGUAGGCGGCUAGACAGGUCCGCUGUGAAAACUCGAGGCUCAACCUCGAGACGUCGGUGGAAACCGUCUGGCUAGAGUCCGGAAGAGGAGAGGUGGAAUUCCCGGUGUAGCGGUGAAAUGACGCAGAUAUCGGGAAGAACACCCGUGGCGAAGGCGGCUCUCUGGGACGGUACUGACGCUGAGACGCGAAAGCGUGGGGAGCGAACAGG
rnacentral:rRNA from 1 species